UGUGCUACAGUCUCCCAGCCUUGGCCACAGUAAAGAUUGCACGGGGGACACAUGACACCAUGGUUCAAAUGCCAAAGAAUCGUCAAAAAACCUCGCUUCUUUCCUAUUCACUUGGAACAUAUAUCUGAUGGGUUCCCGGCAGCAUUUCUUUCGGAAAACAAGACUAAUGAACCAAACCAACGACAAGUACUGUGCAGAAGAGCUAACCUGCAUCUCAAAUAGAAAGGACCUUAUGCGUCCUCCUCCAGCCCAGUUCCGACUUGACUCCUGGGCCUUGGUGGGAUGUCCUGAGCACCGCGCGAUGCGCAACAAACCUAUGCUACUGUGCCUCAGGUUUUAGUGGCGCACGUCAACUCCCUGGUCUGUUCCUAGGACUCUGUUCCACAGGACCUUACUGUAUGAGGACGCUCCGCUGCGGUUCAUCCACUGGGACCAUUUCCCAAUCGCAAGUGGCUCCUGGAGACAAGCUGGAUACACACACCACGCUGGGAGGAAUCCUCGGUUUUCAAAGUGCACCACGAAAGCGGAAUAUUCCACCGAAAGUUACGAUCCGCAAGUACAAGGCCUGCCUGAGCACUCCUCAGCCCAGCGGCCACGCCUCUCAGUUCCCCAAGGGUCCUCACCCUAGCUAGCCCCGCCCUAAGGGCGCUUUUCUGGGCAUGCACCUGCUUCCACGCUGCAGAGUGGUUGCCUUGGAAACCCUGGAGAGCUGGUGCUCUCUGCAGACACGCUGUUGCCCUGACAACUGUGACCCAGCUCUUGGGCGUGCCAGGAAGAAUGCAAAUGGAUGCUACAUUAAAUGCGGAUUCAGGGCUAUAGGAGGGACUGGUUGGUAGGGUUGGGAUGCGAAAACAGCUGUAUUAGGGUAUGCAAGCUGAGCCUCAAGAUGGGGUCGGUGUGUAUCGCCGACUAGAAACAUUGUGUUCUUCACCAAGCCCAGUUACAUUUGGCUGUAAGACAAAUUCCGGAGUUGUUCUAGCGUCCCUCUUUCACUCUGCUUAAGAUGUUUAAAUGGGAUUUCCCAGCAGGAACUGGUUCCAGGUAGGAAUAAGAAAAAGCCCUUCAGUAUGUUGAAAACAGUGAAGGCCUACUGGGGAUAAUAGUUAACCAUGGGUGACGUCAUAUGCAGACCUCCGAGACUCUGGUUGUGACGAGCACGUGGCUAACACAAUUUCACUCACUGUUUGAGAAAGGUAGGGCCGGGAAAAGCAAACUGUACUUAUUAAAAACCCAAAUGUGCACGUGUCGUCUUGAGAGCUGAGUUAGGGGCUUAAACCCAUCAAGCCACAGAUAGGUGCUUCUGUUAAGGAACUAGGACAUCAUGGAGAGGGCUCAGCUGAAAACCAAGGUUCUGGGCAAGGGCUACGGAGACUGAAGGCUAGGGUGGCCUGUCGGGAAGUGGGAGCGUUUGCAAUGUUGCCCUUCAAGUAAGAGAAUGGAUUAAAGGACUGAUGGGAAACAAAACCUUCCCAGUCUACACAUUAGACAUCUAUACAAGUGUGAAAUUUAGGUGACAGCUGACUCUUUUGUAAGUGUCCAGUCUCUGCAACAGUGAAGCAGAACCCAGUGGGAUAUUUUCAAAGUACUGACAGCAAAUAGCCAUUGUGUUAGUUAGGGGUCUCUAAAGAACAGACCCAACAACCCAUAAACUGAGGGUCUGUGACAUGACCACAUCACCCCUUAAAGGUCCUGUCUCUUACCACGAAUUUUAAGUGUUUUGGCAAAUAUGAUGGUUUAAAUGAGAAUGACCCCCAUAAGCUCAUAUAUUUGAACACUUGGUCCCCAGUUGGUGGAAUUGCUUGGGAAGGAUUAGGCUUGUGGCCUUAUUGGAGAAGGUGUGUCCCAGUAGGGAUGGGCUUUGAGGUUUCAAAUGCCCAUGUCACUCCCAGUUAGUUCUCUCUGCUUGGUGUUUGAAGAUAAGACAAACGCUCUCCGCUACAGCUCUAGAGCCAUGCCUUCUCCCCUGCUUUUAUGCUUCCUGCAUGGACUCCAACCCUCUGAAACUGUAAGUCCCCAAUAAAUUCUUUCUUCU
rnacentral:lncRNA from 1 species